rnacentral:SRP_RNA from 1 species
CCGCGCUAGGCGGGGAGUCAGCGGUGCCCUGUACCUGCAAUCCGCUACAGCAGGGCUGAAUUCCCGUCCCGAGGCUGGCCCUUGUGGGGUCUGGAACCGGUAAGGAGCGUUGAGUUUUGGGUCCCGUGCAAUCGGCGUCUGUGAACCAUGUCAGGUCCUGACGGAAGCAGCAUUAAGCGGAAAAGCCGAUGUGCCGCGGGGAAGCCUGAAAGGAGCCGCCUGCCGGGAUACCGCCCGGAAGGGUUUUGUCAAGGGAUGGGUGCGCG